rnacentral:rRNA from 1 species
AUUGAACGCUGGCGGCAGGCCUAACACAUGCAAGUCGAACGGUAACAGGAAGAAGCUUGCUUCUUUGCUGACGAGUGGCGGACGGGUGAGUAAUGUCUGGGAAACUGCCUGAUGGAGGGGGAUAACUACUGGAAACGGUAGCUAAUACCGCAUAACGUCGCAAGACCAAAGAGGGGGACCUUCGGGCCUCUUGCCAUCGGAUGUGCCCAGAUGGGAUUAGCUAGUAGGUGGGGUAACGGCUCACCUAGGCGACGAUCCCUAGCUGGUCUGAGAGGAUGACCCGCGACACUGGAACUGAGACACGGUCCAGACUCCUACGGGAGGCAGCAGUGGGGAAUAUUGCACAGUGGGCGCAAGCCUGAUGCAGCCAUGCCGCGUGUAUGGAGAAGGCCUUCGGGUUGUAAAGUACUUUCAGCGGGGAGGAAGGGAGUAAAGUUAAUACCUUUACUCAUUGACGUUACCCGCAGAAGAAGCACCGGCUAACUCCGUG